UUCUUCGGACUUUCCAAUAAGGUGUCCUUUGGGCUGGAACUUUCCAUGCUUCGUUUCUGCUCAAAGGUGAAUUUAUUCUGGAAAGUUCACAC
rnacentral:pre_miRNA from 1 species